rnacentral:rRNA from 1 species
UGGGGGAUAUUGCACAAUGGGGGAAACCCUGAUGCAGCAACGCCGCGUGAGUGACGAAGGUCUUCGGAUUGUAAAACUCUGUUCUUGGUGAAGAUAAUGACGGUAGCCAAGGAGAAAGCUCCGGCUAACUACGUGCCAGCAGCCGCGGUAAUACGUAGGGAGCAAGCGUUGUCCGGAAUUACUGGGUGUAAAGGGUGCGUAGGCGGCCCUGCAAGUCAGGCGUGAAAACCAUGGGCUCAACCCGUGGACUGCGUUUGAAACUGUGGGGCUUGAGUGAAGUAGAGGUAGGCGGAAUUCCCGGUGUAGCGGUGAAAUGCGUAGAGAUCGGGAGGAACACCAGUGGCGAAGGCGGCCUACUGGGCUUUAACUGACGCUGAGGCACGAAAGCAUGGGUAGCAAA